rnacentral:misc_RNA from 1 species
CGAGCUUCGGCUCACUAUCGGAUCGUUUUAGAAACAUCAGUGGCCAACAGAUCGCCAGAUCGUUGAGCUGCAUUGGCGGGAUUUCGCCGUCUACGUUUCUCUUUCUUCGCGGACGAACACGCGCUGGGCCUGCUUCAAGCAGGAUCCCACGGUCCCUGACGGGAUAUGCGUUAGGGGCUUGUAGCUCAGUUGGUUAGAGCGCGCGCUUGAUAAGCGUGAGGUCGGAAGUUCAAGUCUUCCCAGGCCCACCACUUUCAUCGAGUGAGCAUUCGUCUUCUGGUUACGGGGCCAUAGCUCAGCUGGGAGAGCGCGUGCUUUGCAAGCAUGAGGUCGUCGGUUCGAUCCCGUCUGGCUCCACCAGAUGGUUUGAUCACCGAGAUCUUGCACCGUCGUCCGCGAAACAUCACUUCGCAUCCUGCUAGUCUGGAUAGACAGCAAGAUGCGUGUUUUCUGACAUCGUAAAGAGGAGAUCGAUCCGAGUUGGGUCGUGCAGCAAAUUGUUGCGCGAGCCUUCAUUAUCUCCGGAUCAUUUUCGGCGCUCGCGUCCGACCGCAAGGUUGGCUGCGAGUUGUAAAAUGAUCCUUUUAGCGAAGCUUGACCGCCUCGCUAUCGGAACGAUCUUACGAAGCAAGCUGGUCUUUCUAGUCAAUGUCCGGCUGCACAUAGCGUUCAUCGAGGGCGCGUGCCGCAAGGCAAUUGUGCAGACAACAUUCUGCCGAGUGUGUGGACAUUGAUAAUGAGAGCAAUCAAGUGCCUUAAGGGUGUUCGGUGGAUGCCUUGGCGCUGAGAGGCGAUGAAGGACGUGCUACGCUGCGAUAAGCCGUGGGAG